rnacentral:rRNA from 1 species
AUACGGGGGGUGCAAGCGUUAAUCGGAAUUACUGGGCGUAAAGCGCGCGGAGGCGGUUUGCUCAGUCGGAUGUGAAAGCCCAGGGCUCAACCUGGGAACUGCAUACGAUACUGGCAAACUAGAGUGUGAGAGAGGAUAGUGGAAUUUCCGGUGUAGCGGUGAAAUGCGUAGAUAUCGGAAGGAACAUCAGUGGCGAAGGCGACUGUCUGGCUCAACACUGACGCUGAGGUGCGAAAGCGUGGGUAGCAAACAGGAUUAGAAACCCUAGUAGUCC